CACGGCAGUGGCACCGGCACCGGCGUGUUCCUGCCGCGCCCGGAGGCAUACCUGCAAAAUAGUGCACCCUCCGCAUCCCCCAUCCCCAGGAACGGUGCGAAGCCGCCGCGGAUGCUGAGAAAGGAGGCUGUCAUUUUCGCGAUGCGGCAGCAGCAGCAGCUGAUGCAACUGCGGGCGAUGGCGGCGGAGAUGGAGCGGCAGAGGGAAGCGUUCGCCGCGGCGUUCCAAGGCUGCCCUGCGCUCGCGGCGCCACGGCAAUGGACGUACUGACUGAUACAGUAGAUUGUUGACAGUUGGUCGUAUGAACAGAAUAAAACUGGGUGGCUACGAUGAUAAAUUCGUUUCGCUUUGGGGAUACUAGUAAGCAUGCACAUGAAAUUCAUGUGCAUCAACAAGAUGAGACAUCGUUUCAAAAAAAAAACGAGACUUCAUGUGUGCCUGGCUUGGGAAAGAUGACAUAGACUUGGUGCAUGCCGAUGCCUCCCUCUAUCCUGAUGAAGCAUGGAAACUGUACCCAAAGAAAUAGCUGCAAGCGGCGUGGGCUGCUCGACUUGUUCGUUGGAACCAACUUUUUUUCCUUUUCUUUUCUGAUGUUGAUUUACAAGUAUGAUUUAGGUACCUGUGCUGUGAGCUUGAGUUUUGUGUUGGACAAUUAUAGUACAUCAUAAGCAAGUUGUAAUAAAAUGGAUAUGCUUCAUA